CAGUCGCCACGGUAACACGUAGGGUGCAAGCGUUAAUCGGAAUUACAGGGCGUAAAGCGUGCGCAGGCGGUUAUAUAAGUCAGAUGUGAAAUCCCCGGGCUCAACCUGGGAACUGCAUUUGAGACUGUAUGGCUAGAGUGUGUCAGAGGGGGGUAGAAGUCCACGUGUAGCAGUGAAAUGCGUAGAUAUGUGGAGGAAUACCGAUGGCGAAGGCAGCCCCCUGGGAUAACACUGACGCUCAUGCACGAAAGCGUGGGGAGCAAACAGGAUUAGAUACCCCUGUAGUCCCUGUCUCUUAUAC
rnacentral:rRNA from 1 species